UUCCACAAAAAAUCAAUAAGUCAGUUAACCAUUUUCAAAUUUGAACCAAAUACACUUACAUAUUUUUUGCUUCUAUUUAACUAUGUUGAGGACCUAAAGAGUGUUAAGUAGAGAUACUUGCCAUAUUUAUUGUGGUUUAUGAUAAUGUCAUACAAUAGACUAAAAUUUUCAAGGUAGACAACCCUGGAAUCUGGAAGUUUUUUUGAUAGAUCUAUAAGUGAAGUGGCAAGCUUGGAGUUGAAAAUCAAUGCUCCAUCAUUUAUAUUUUCUACACAAUCCCUUCCUAUGCCUCCUUUUAUAGUUCUUUGAAGUGGCACACAUCCAACUGGUGAUAAACUGAACACUCCAAUCCUUCUUGCUCCCAAUUCAUAAAGAUCCUUCAUAAAUUUCAUGUAAAUUUCCAUCGAAAUAUGACAAAAUUUAGAUAAAAUUGUUCCCAUCAAAUUUUCAAAAAUUGCAAAUGGGUCCUUAUGAAUUUCAAAAAUUGCAAACUGGUCCCUAGAAUUUUAAAUUUUUGCUAAAUGGCAAAUAUUCUUAUAUAACAAUUUUAAAUUUUCUAUUCAAUGGGUUAAAGAGCAAAUAUUGUUAUAAUUUUGACAUGAAAAGCAUACCUCAACAAAUUUUGAAUUUGAACUAAUAAUCAUAGUUGUAUACUUCUCUAUAUCAUACUGAUGCUUUCUGAAGGGUGACAAAUAAUAUGUUCCUGCAAUAUCAUUGGUUCCCAUGCUUAUUAUAAUUAUGCUAUUUGCAAUAAUCUCAGCUGUCCUAUUUUCUCCCACAGCUACCUUCAAUUUUCCAAUAUACUCUUUGAACAUAUCUAGUUGAUCUUCUGCUGACAACACUGACUAUAUAAUAUAUAUAACACAAAUAAUAAAAAUGUUAUGACAUUUUUGUAACACAAAGUUUAAAAUAGAAUUAAAAUUGUUGAGAUAGAAACUAUAUAUAUUACUGCUAGUUCAAUUGUAAGAGGAUCAUAUCCUGCACCAGAUGAUGCAAAACACACUCCUGUUAAGAGGUCUUCAGUACUCAAAUUUGGAUCAAGAUAAGCUGGCAUAGCCUCCUUAAUACCAACGUAUUCAACUGCAAUUAUAUGAAAUUUCGUAAGCAUAACGAACCAUGCAAGUUUUUAUAACUAUAAUUAUCUCGAAUUUUGUUAAGUGCUUAUACACACUAAAACUGCAUUGGAGGUGUAAGGACUAAACAAAAUAUGUAAAUUUUAAGGGACGAAAAACAUAUUUGACUCAAUUUUUAUACUAGAAAUUUUUAUAUAAGAAUCGAGUGUAAUAAGAAGCAUAUUAGUUAGCAUUUAAAUGUUAAAACUUUGAACUACGUACGGAAAUAAUCAGAAGGGAUUCUUCCAUUGCAAAACCUUCCUGUCGGUUUUCCUCCAAUAAAAUCCUUCCCGUACGGUUUGAAAUUCGACUUAACUAUCGUUGCAAUAUAGUUGUUAUUACCAGUAUCUACGAUUGAAUCACCGAAUGCAAUAACAGCAGGAAAUGAAUAGUUCUUAUAAAGUGGUUUGAUUGUAGCUGUCACAGCAAAUGGAUGAUACAAAACUAGAAAAGAACAGAAAUAAAAAGAUUUAACAAAUGUGAAAUGCUUCAUCAUGUGAUUUGAAUUUAAUUUUCAAUCUUCUGUUUUAGGCUUGAAGAAUGUAGAUUAUAAAGGUUAAGGACAUGUUUUUUAACACAUAUGUUGGAUUGGAACUAUGUAAAACUUUACCUGUUGGUAUCUGCUACUUAACUGUCAUGGUAAGGGUGUUAGAACUAUUUCUUGUUAAUUAGUCUCAAGGGAAAAUUAUAGGGCACAGUUUUCAAUUUUCUGAACUCUAUACUUCAUUGGCUUGUGUUGUUCCGAUUCUUUUUCAUGACAAUAAUCUAAGGGCACAUGUUAGCAUUUUUUUUUAAAAUUAUUUAUUUUAAUUUUACUCCAAAAUGUUAAUACUAGUAAGGUGUGGAUCACUUUCAAGCAGAGUCAGCCCAACGUAUUUUGAGGCCUAAAGCGGAUUAUUAUUGAAGGCCUUUUCAAAAUUAAUAAUAAUAAGUAGAAUUUUUAAAUUGCUUAUAAACUUUUGUUGUGGAUAUACAUUAUGGUAGAACUUAUUUGAGUUGUGUCUAAUUUUAAGAAAUGAUUAGUUGUAUUUAUUUCAAUGAUAAAAAUAGUUUAUUUUUCAAAAACACUCUUAACAAUAAUAGUUAGUGUAUUGAUUCCUUAAAACAGGUGCAUAGAAAGAUAGCUAAAUGAAACACUUGUAGUUGUUCAAUCCAUUCCAGUGGGAAAAGUUUUGUAUGUUUAUCAGGAAUAGUUCAUACAAAUAUUGUGUUUCCACAAAAGUACCUGUUUAUAGGUAUCCCCUUACAUUUUCUCAUUGAUAUUGAAACCAAUUUCAGUUGGUCCAAAACUAACUCAACUAGUGGGAAAAUGCUGCUAGGAGAGAAAGACAGGCAAUCUAUAGACUAGAUACUGCCUAAUUGAAAUAAGAUUUUAUAAAUUAAUAAAAAGAAAGAAGAAAUUUAAUUAUUUUCUUAAGUAGUAGACUAAGUAGAGCGCUUCUUCUAAACCAAAACAUUAGGCUCAAACUGUUAAUGAGUUUCACCAAAGGACGAAUCGUUCGGAAGAACUCGAGUUUGAUUUCUGAGUAGAACAAUUUCUUAGCCAAAUUUUACUUAACUCGUAGCCGAACUCCAAAUUAUUAAGUCCUCAUUCCCCUAAGAAUCGGAGAGUGAACACAAAAAAAAAAGAGCGUUUCUUCUAAAACCUUGUCUUAAAUAUCCAAUUGAUCCCUUGUUUGUCAGAUUUGAUGUGCCAAUGAUGACCAAUGUGUUCAUGUUGUAAAACUCUGAAGUCACAUGUGAAGCAAACAACAUAUACAAGUAAAUUGGUCCAGUCGAUAAGAAUUCAGCUCAGAUCCACAAUAAUUUGGGUUCGAGUGCUGCUUCCAAUGUAAAUAAAAACAUUAUUUAUCGGUAAUACGUUAAUACUUUUGCAAGCACCUUUUAAACCAUACAAUUUUCUUUGAUUUUGACAAGUCUCGAAAUUCAACUCGUCUAAAAUUUUAUAACCAAACAAACAAAACUUAUAAAGAAACAAAUAGUUAAAAUACUUCUGCUUGUUGUAAGAUCAUUUGAAUUUUUUCUUUGUUGCAAGUGUUUGUCAAAAAAUUUAUUCACAUCCUUAACCAUGAGAUAAUCCAAGUCUGUUGCUAUAUUUGUUGAACCUUUAAUUUCAUUGUACAAUAUAAUCCAUAAACUGGUAAAAUACAUUAAAUGGUAAUUAAGUCCUAAUCUAAAAAGGAAAAUAUUUCAAACAAACUCAUCAGCUUUGUUAUUUAAGGUUUCAUGGACAAGUAUUUUGUAAGCUUUCUCUGUGGGGUGGUAACUGUCCCAAAACACAUACUGAGUGGUAUCUAGACACACUUUUAAGGUGAAAGAACUACAAAGAGGACCAAGUUCUAGAUUUGCAAUGCCACAGCAUGAACCAUCCCCAUUUUCAAAUCCUGUUCCACAAAAAAUCAAUAAGUCAAUUAACCAUAUUCAAUAGGGAUUAUGUUGGUAAUCUUCUUAGUUAAUUCAGAUAAAUAUUCUCAUAUAAUUUAAUGGUUAUUUUUAUUUUCAUAAUUGAAAUAAUGAAUUAAUUGACACCAAUUUGAUUAAAACAACAUAUACAAAUAAAGAUGUAACUUAUACCGAAUUGACGUUUAUAAUGUCAUUUUUUUAGCCGUAAAAAUAACAAGAGUCGUAAUUUUGUACCUUUAAAAAAUAUUAUCGACAGUGUUAAGAUUUCUAAUAAUUUUAAUCAUUGGUCCACAGUGAACCACUUGUGAACCUAGUCAAUCGUAACAUUAGUCAUAUAGACAAAAAAAAAAAUUAUUCCAAAUUUGAAUCAAAUACAUAAAUAUUUUUUACUUCUAUUUAACUCUAGAGUUGGGAAUAAUAUAAUUAAGUUGCAUAGCAUGAAAUUUAACUAUGUUGAGGACCUAAAUAGUAUUAAGUAGAGAUACUUGCCAUAUUUAGUGUGGUUUACGAUAAUGUCAUGCAAUAGAGUAAAAUUUUCAAGGUAGACAACCCUGGAAUCUGGAAGUUUUUUUUUUAGAUCUACAAGUGAAGUGAUAAGCUUGGAGUUGAAAACCAAUGCUCCCUCAUUUAAUUUUUCUACACAAUCCCUUUUUAUGCCUCCUUUUAUAGUUCUUUGUAGUGGCACACAUCCAAUUGGUGAUAAACUGAACACUCCAAAUCUCCUUGCUCCCAAUUCAUAAAGAUCCUUCAUCAAUUUCAU
rnacentral:lncRNA from 1 species